GGUUAAGCGACUAAGCGUACACGGUGGAUGCCCUGGCAGUCAGAGGCGAUGAAGGACGUGCUAAUCUGCGAUAAGCGUCGGUAAGGUGAUAUGAACCGUUAUAACCGGCGAUUUCCGAAUGGGGAAACCCAGU
rnacentral:rRNA from 2 species